UUGGUAGAUGCCUUGGCACUAGAAGGCGAUGAAGGACGUAAUACGCUGCGAUAAGCUUCGGGGAGUUGCGAAUAAAUUUUGAUCCGAAGAUUUCCGAAUGGGGAAACCCACCUAAUUUAUUAGGUAUUGUAUAGUGAAUACAUAGCUAUAUGAGGCAAACCCAGCGAACUGAAAUAUCUAAGUAGCUGGAGGAAAGGACAUCAACCGAGACUCCGUUAGUAGUGACGAGCGAACGCGGACCAGGCCAGUGGCUUCAAAAAAAUAACUAAAACAACAUGGAAAGGUUGACCAUAGAAGGUGAUAGUCCCGUAUAGGUAAAAAGUUUGAAGUCCUUGAGUAAGGCGGGACACGUGAAAUCCUGUUUGAACAUAGGGGGACCACCCUCUAAGCCUAAGUACUCUCUAGUGACCGAUAGUGAACAAGUACCGUGAGGGAAAGGUGAAAAGUACCCCGACAAGGGGAGUGAAAUAGUAUCUGAAACCAAAUGCUUACAAGCAGUCGGAGCAAGCGUAUUUAUAUGUCUUGUGACGGCGUACCUUUUGUAUAAUGGGUCCGCGAGUUUCUGUUGGCAGCAAG
rnacentral:rRNA from 1 species